UGGAGAUCUCACUAUCAGUGACUCCAAAACUGCAGACUCAGGAGAUUUUCAUCUACACAUGAGCAACAGUGAAUACACCUUACAGAGGACCAUCAGAGUUAUUGUCAAAACUCCACCUCAGUCAGGUGCUCCUUCAGGGAUAUAUGGUGCUGGUGUUGGUCUGGUAGUUUGGGCUGUAACUGUGUUUUUUGCUGAAAGAUUUGUAGUCAACGGAAUCAAAGGUGUUUCAGUGAAAAUAAAGUGAAUCACUCUCAGGAACAGCAUAAAAAGUGAAGAAAAACAGCCAUUCACAAUCACUGUACCAAAUAAAUUUGGGCUUUGCAUGACAUGCUAAUCGGUUUAAUUUGUUUGUUUUAUGGAUAUAUUUUGACAUAAAUCUUGCAUUUUUGUCUCGUGCUUGACCACAAGAACAAAAGGGGAAACUGAAAAUGCAUUAACCUGAAAUGUUCAAAUCACAAAACCAUUAAUUUUUUCAGUUAAAUAUAAAAUAAAUCAACACAUGCCAAAAUAUUUCACUUGUUAAACAGAAGAGUUUGGCUGCUUGAAAUUGGUGUUUUAGUGUUUUUUGGGAUGCCAUCAAUGUGGAAGUUUAUGUUCAUCUGUUGGGUUAUACAGAUCUAUGUACAAAAACACAAUAAAGCCAAUCAAACUUGA